rnacentral:rRNA from 1 species
GACGAACGCUGGCGGCGUGCUUAACGCAUGCAAGUCGAGCGGUAAGGCCCUUUCGGGGGUACACGAGCGGCGAACGGGUGAGUAACACGUGGGUGACCUGCCCUCAGCUCUGGGAUAAGCCUGGGAAACCGGGUCUAAUACUGGAUAUGACUCCAUGACGCAUGUUGUGGGGUGGAAAGCCUUGUGCGGCUGAGGAUGGGCCCGCGGCCUAUCAGCUUGUUGGUGGGGUGANGGCCUACCAAGGCGACGACGGGUAGCCGGCCUGAGAGGGCGACCGGCCACACUGGGACUGAGACACGGCCCAGACUCCUACGGGAGGCAGCAGGUGGGGAAUCUUGCGCAAGUGGGACGAAAGCCUGACGCAGCGACGCCGCGU